rnacentral:rRNA from 1 species
CCUACGGGGGGCAGCAGUGGGGAAUAUUGGACAAUGGGGGCAACCCUGAUCCAGCCAUGCCGCGUGUGUGAAGAAGGCCCUCGGGUUGUAAAGCACUUUCAGUGAGGAAGAACGCCUGGUGGUGAAUACCCAUCAGGAAAGACAUCACUCACAGAAGAAGCACCGGCUAACUCCGUGCCAGCAGCCGCGGUAAUACGGAGGGUGCGAGCGUUAAUCGGAAUUACUGGGCGUAAAGCGCGCGUAGGUGGCUUGAUAAGCCGGUUGUGAAAGCCCCGGGCUCAACCUGGGAACGGCAUCCGGAACUGUCAAGCUAGAGUGCAGGAGAGGAAGGUAGAAUUCCCGGUGUAGCGGUGAAAUGCGUAGAGAUCGGGAGGAAUACCAGUGGCGAAGGCGGCCUUCUGGACUGACACUGACACUGAGGUGCGAAAGCGUGGGUAGCAAACAGGAUUAGAUACCCUGGUAGUC